AUGAUACUCCGUCCGUCCGGAAAUACUUGUCGGACGAAUGGAUGUAUCUAGAUGUAUUUUAGUUGUAGAUACAUCUAUUUUUAUCCAUUUCUCCGACAAGUAUUUUGGGACGGAGGGAGUACUAC
rnacentral:pre_miRNA from 1 species